GGGUCUGUAGCUCAGUGGUUAGAGCGCACCCCUGAUAAGGGUGAGGUCGGUAGUUCGAAGUCUACCCAGCCCACC
rnacentral:tRNA from 1 species